ncrna:Capitella teleta microRNA cte-mir-375 precursor
GUUAGCAUGGGCCAAACGUGCAAGACUGUGUUUGAGCUGUUUUGUUCGUCCGGCUCGCGUUAACA